UCUCUUUCAUCGCUUCCUGCGCCUCCCUCACCGGCGAGUCUUUCGCUCUGGAGUCCUGUUCUUGCUCUUCCCUUCUCCUCCUGUCCACUUUCCUCCGCUCGCUUGUAGCUCGCUUGCUCGCUCACUGUCUUACUUACUACGGCCGAGGCAUCCAACCGAGUAGUGAAAACACCAGAAAACCGGCUCUAUUUAUGACAAUACAGCGCGGCCGACGCCAAUAUGGCGCCUCUUCCCAGCCUGCCCCUCGCCCGCUGAGGACCCGCCCCUGAAGGCCUGGACCCGCCUUGACCCCGCCCCCUCUCCCUUUGGGUCCCUGGAGGCUCCGGUGGCCCCGCCCACAGAGGCGCCGGCUGCGGCUGCCGACACCGGUGCGAAGGAGCGUUUGGUCCCCUCCUUUGUCAGUGGGACUGUCAAUCCAGACUAACUGCUUGGAAGAAUGCUUUGUUUGCUCUUACCUGCUGCAGUAAUUUGGAAGAAAGCACCCAAGAAUGUGACUAUAUUUGGAGAGUUUAAAUAAGGUCAUUAGUGUGGCCCCUACUCUAGUACGACUGAUGUCCUUAUAAGAAGAGGAAAUUUGGACACAGAUGGCACAGAGGAAAGGCCAUGUGAAAGCACUGGAGAAGACUGCCAUUUACAAGCCAAGGAGAGAGGCCUCAGAAGAAACCAACCCUGCUGACAUGUUGUCUCAGAUUUCUAGCCUCCAGAACUGUGAGAAAAGAAAUCUUUGUUGUUUAAGCCUCCUACCUAGUCUGUGUUACUUUCUUAUGGAAGCACUA